AUGUAUGUAUGUAUGUAUGUAUGCAUGCAUGCAUGCAUGCAUGCAUGCAUGUAAUUGACUGUUGGUG
rnacentral:miRNA from 11 species